UGUGGCUGUACCACAUUGAAAGCACCUGAUCACAUCUGAUCUUGGAGGCUAAGCAGGGUCAGGCUUAGAUAGUACUUGGAUGAAAUAUGGGAGGAAUUCAACUUGGUUAUUU
rnacentral:rRNA from 1 species